rnacentral:lncRNA from 1 species
GAAGAGGAAUAAGCUCCCAAGUGCCACUCGCAUGUAAAGCAGACAUCUCGUCAAUCAUAGCAUGUCACCAUCCUAGAUGAGAUAGUGCCUCACCUGUAGACAUAGGGAUAGAAACAGUGGACAAAGAAGAUAUAAAAGCAUAAUGAGGUGACGACAGGCGAUGAUAACUUAAACCGACAUAGUGGGGAUUAAGAUUAAGUGUGGAUUGUACACCUUUGCGGAGUGCAAUUGGUUAACUAAGAGGAGACAAGUCCGCAGUAGGUGCAGAAUCUGAUGUGGGGCGUGAAUCACCUGGGCAUGAUGCUGGAUGUGGACGACGAUGAUAAGUCAAGAGUGGUGGAGCUGCAGAAGGUUGAACUGGAUUAUGUAGAGGAACUGGAGCUAUAGGUGGUGGAGCUACAACUCGAGCUGUAGGUGGUGGGACUGGAGCUAUAGGUGGUGGAGCUACAACUGGAGUUGUAGGUGGUGGAGCUGGAGUGACUGAAUCUCCAAAAAGAUGAAACUGGUAGUACCUCAGAAAUAUCUAAGUGAUGACCUGAACCUGUGAAGUAUGAUUGGGUUUCCAAGAAGGUAACAUCAGCGGACAUAAGGUACCGCUGGAGGUCAGGAGAGUAGCAUCGAUACCCCUUUUGUGUUCUUGAAAAAUCCAAAAAUACGCACUUAAGAGUACGAGGAGCUAACUUAUCUGUUCCUGGAGUAAGGUUAUGGACAAAACAAGUGCUUCCAAAGAUACAGGGUGGAAGAGAGAACAAAGGUAAGUGGGGAAACAUGACAGAGAAUGGAACUUGGUUCUGGAUAGCUGAAGAUGGCAUACGAUUAAUAAGAUAGCAAGAUGUAAGAACUGCAUCCCCCCAAAAACGCAACGGAGCAUGAGAUUGUAUGAGUAGGGUACGAGCAGUUUCAAUAAGAUGUCUAUUCUUUCUUUUAGCUACCCCAUUUUGUUGAGAUGUCUACGGACAAGAUGUUUGAUGAAUAAUCCCAUGAGAUUUCAUAAACUGCUGAAAUGGGGAAGACAAAUACUCUCAGGCAUUAUCACUACGAAAUGUGCGAAUAGAAACCCCAAAUUGAUUUUGAAUUUCAGCGUGGAACGUCUGAAAAAUAGAAAACAGCUCAGAUCGAUUUUUUAUCAAAAAUAUCCAAGUGCACCUGGAAUAAUCAUCAAUGAAACUGACAAAGUAGCGGAAUCCCAAGGUGGAACUGACCCGACUAGGACCCCAAACAUCUGAAUGGAUUAAAGUAAAAGGUGACUCUGCUCGAUUAUCAAGACACCGGGGGAAAUGGGAGCGAGUAUGCUUACCGAACUGACAUGACUCACACUUUAGAGCUGACAAGUGAGAUAAACCAGAUACCAUUUUCUGAAGUUUUGACAAACUAGGAUGUCCCAACCGUUUAUGUAAUAAAUAUGGUGAAUCAGUAACAGGACAAGUUGUAGAAGGAAGACAAGAUGUGAGUCUAUGUGAUUUAGCAAGGAUAAGGUAAUAAAGUCCGUUUGAUUCACGCCCGGUACCAAUGAUCCGCCCUGUACUGCGUUCCUGUAUAAAAACAUGGUCAUCAAGAAAUAAAACA